UUAGGAGAGACAUUAGGCUCCAGGAAAGGAUAACAAUUAAACAGAUCUGAUCUUUUACAGCAGAUAGAAACAUGGAAGAAUGGGUGGGACGAACAUGUUUUUCUGAUCUCAAAGCCAUGGCGUACAAUAAAACAAAGUGAAGGAGGGAUUUGUGCUACAAAGGAUCCAAGCAUAUAUGCUUCAUUACAGUUCACGUUUUAUUACAGAUUUUUAGAUCUGCAAAUGAUAAUGAAGAGCUUACGGUAACAGGAUGUUACAAGGUAAAAUGCAAUCUGAGCCCCAUUCACAGCAACCACAAAAAUUGAGAGCGAGUGAGAGAAAGAAAUGAAAGAACCAAAUAGUUUUUGUUUUACCAAAAUGCUG